AUGUUAUUUGCCUAUCUUGAGGCGCCGUACCAGGAAGGGAUUGGCAACCCCUUUAACACGUUGGGUUGCAAGCAUUUGUUAUUUGUGUGCAGGUGCUAUUUACGUGGUGUGAGGAGGUUCUCCUACUGGUACGAUAACCUUGGUCUCAUCACUGAGGGAAAUACCUACCGUCGCUAUACUGCAUCACCCCUUCCUCUUUGGGGAAAUACCGACGUAGUUCUAGCAGACAUCAAAAGAAAUUUCUGGCGCCGUUGCCGGGGAGGAUCUUCAAUAUCAACCAGGUUCCUAAUAAAAAAUCUCAUCUCCUCGCAAUUUACAUUAUUUGCCAUUUGCCUCUCGUGUUUCUCUCCCUCACUUCACAAAAUUUUGCCGUUUUAUUCGUCCUCUUUUUCGAUCGUUGUUUUCUCGUCAGAUCUGUUUUUUGUGUGCAAUCUUGUUUAUCACUUUUUGUCGUUAUGGUUUUUUCUUCUUCUAUUGCGUGCACCCCCGAGAACAAGGUUCUUAACUUCAAACAAAGGGGAGGAGAAAAUUUAA
rnacentral:rRNA from 1 species